CAUGCAGGCGGUUUCAUAAGUCAGAUGUGAAAUCCCCGGGCUUAACGUGGGCAUUGCCUUUGAAACUAUGUAACUAGAGUUCUGUAGAGGGGGGUAGAAUUCCAGGUGUAGCGGUGAAAUGCGUAGAGAUCUGGAGGAAUACCGAUUGCGAAGGCAGCCCCCUGGACAGUGACUGACGCUCAUAUGCGAAAGCGUGGGGAUCAAACAGGAUUAGAUACCCUAGUA
rnacentral:rRNA from 1 species